UAUGGACAAGGAAGGGCAGGCUUAGAUAUUUGCAUCACAAAGGGGUAGACUGUAGUAAAGACUACUGGUUUUCUUUUCAUAUCUAUCAUAUCCUUUUCCUAUAAUAAGAUAACCACAAUUUUAGGCAAAGAAUACUAGCGAAGAACAAAAUUUCUAACUUCCCGUGCAGCUAAGUGUGGCCAUUCUGAAGUAUAGAUUUGAUGCUUUGAACUGAAGUGGACACCUUGGACCAAAAAAUAACCCUGGGAAUGAAUGUUACAAACUGGAACAAAAAUCAUAGAAGGGGCUAUGUCCUUGAUACAGUGAUGCUAUUCCAAGUGCUGAACUGUCUAUUGCGGGCUUCCAUAUGAGAGAAAAAUAAAGUUGUUUAAGUCAUUGUUA